AAAAUCAAAACCUCUAUUUCUCCCCUAAAUCAAAAGCUCCAUUUCAGCGGCGAAGCCACAAAGGGAGGUUCCGACGAUGAAGCAACGAAUUGAGGCUCCAGUGGCGAAGCAACGAAUCGAGGAUCUGGAAGCAAAGCAACAGAUCUAGAAUCCGGCGGAGCCGAUCAACAACGAAAAGGACGAGGAAGAGCUUGAGGCCAUCGCUCGCUCCGCCGACGAAGACACCGUUGAGGACAACUCCCGCCGGUCCGAUGACGAGGCCGUGCCAACCGAGAACAACAACGACUUUGAAGAAGAGGAUGGAGCUAAUGAAAGCAAUGCUGAAGUGAGCAAACGUGAGAAGGCCAGACUAGUAUACUGCUGGGGAUCAGUACACUACUGAGGGUCAGUAUACUACUGGGGCUAGUAUACUACUGAGGUUUGACUGUGGAGCUAGCACAUAUAUCCUAAACUAUAUACAACAAGUUGCAAAUAACCAAGCAGUCAGGGACAGAAGUGUUUACGCAAACAAUGUGCUACAAAUUGAAAAGGAAAUCAAAGAGAGCUUCAAGCACAUGAGGAAAUCUUGCUGGAGAAACUUCAUCAUGAGAAGAGGUGAAAUUCAAGUAACUUGUAUGUGAAAGCAGCAAAGUCAGAGAUAAAUGAUAUAGUGUUAAAGUUUCAUAUUGUAAUAUGUAUAAAUAGUUUUUUGGA